UGUGUUAGAACAUGUGUUCCAUUUGGAG
rnacentral:piRNA from 1 species